rnacentral:lncRNA from 1 species
GCAGUUUCCUUUGCUGUGAUAAAACACCAUCCCAAAAGCAACUAGGAGAGAAGGGUGUGUGUCAUCUUACAGCUUGUAAACCAUCAUCCAGGAAAGGCAGGGAAGGAACUCAAGGCAGGUACCUAGAGGAAAAAGAAACUUGGAGUAAGAUGAAAGAAGAAAGAGGAAAGACAAGAAAUCAAGAACUCCAAAGGUCACAAGGCAGGAA